AAUGAACGCUAGCGGCAGGCUUAAUACAUGCAAGUCGUGGGGCAGCGCAGAGUAGCAAUACUUGGGCGGCGACCGGCAAACGGGUGCGUAACACGUACGCAACCUUCCUUUAACUGGGAGAUAGCCCACCGAAAGGUGGAUUAAUAUCCCAUAGUAUAUUUGAGUGGCAUCACUUAGAUAUUAAAGCUCCGGCGGUUAAAGAUGGGCGUGCGUCUGAUUAGGUAGUUGGCGGGGUAACGGCCCACCAAGCCCACGAUCAGUAGCUGAUGUGAGAGCAUGAUCAGCCACACGGGCACUGAGACACGGGCCCGACUCCUACGGGAGGCAGCAGUAAGGAAUAUUGGUCAAUGGACGCAAGUCUGAACCAGCCAUGCCGCGUGGAGGAUGAAGGUCCUCUGGAUUGUAAACUUCUUUUCUUUGGGACGAAACCCCUGUUUCUACGGGGACUGACGGUACCAGAGGAAUAAGCACCGGCUAACUCCGUGCCAGCAGCCGCGGUAACAC
rnacentral:rRNA from 1 species